GCCAACGUAGCUUAAUUAAAGCAUAACACUGAAGAUGUUAAGAUGGGCCCUAGAUAAGCCUCGUGGGCA
rnacentral:tRNA from 1 species